UACGUAGGGGGCAAGCGUUGUCCGGAAUCAUUGGGCGUAAAGAGCGUGUAGGCGGCCCGAUAAGUCCGCUGUGAAAGUCCAGGGCUCAACCCUGGAAUGCCGGUGGAUACUGUCGGGCUCGAAUCCGGAAGAGGUGAGUGGAAUUCCUGGUGUAGCGGUGAAAUGCGCAGAUAUCAGGAGGAACACCAAUAGCGAACGCAGCUCCCUGGGACGGUAUUGACGCUGAGACGCGAAAGCGUGGGGAGCAAACAGG
rnacentral:rRNA from 1 species